ACUCAAAGGAAUAGACGGGGGCCCGCACAAGCAGUGGAGCAUGUGGAUUAAUUCGAUGCAACGCGAAGAACCUUACCUAGGCUUGAAACGCAGGUUAAAACCAGUGAAAGCUGGUGUCCCGCAAGGGGAACCUGUACAGGUGCUGCAUGGCUGUCGUCAGCUCGUGCCGUGAGGUGUUGGGUUAAGUCCCGCAACGAGCGCAACCCUUAUCUUUAGUUGCCAUCAGGUAAUGCUGGGCACUCUAAAGAGACUGCCUACGCAAGUAGUGAGGAAGGUGGGGAUGACGUCAAGUCCGCAUGGCCCUUACGCCUAGGGCCUCACACGUGCUACAAUGGCCACUACAAAGGGCUGCAAUACCGCGAGGUGGAGCCAAUCCCUAAAAAGUGGUCUCAGUUCGGAUUGGAGUCUGCAACUCGACUCCAUGAAGCUGGAAUUGCUAGUAAUCGCGCAUCAGCUCGGCGCGGUGAAUACGUUCCCGGGCCUUGUACACACCGCCCGU
rnacentral:rRNA from 1 species